AGUGAACGCUGGCGGUAGGCCUAACACAUGCAAGUCGAACGGCAGCACAGUAAGAGCUUGCUCUUACGGGUGGCGAGUGGCGGACGGGUGAGGAAUACAUCGGAAUCUACUUUUUCGUGGGGGAUAACGUAGGGAAACUUACGCUAAUACCGCAUACGACCUACGGGUGAAAGCAGGGGAUCUUCGGACCUUGCGCGAUUGAAUGAGCCGAUGUCGGAUUAGCUAGUUGGCGGGGUAAAGGCCCACCAAGGCGACGAUCCGUAGCUGGUCUGAGAGGGUGGUUCGCCACACUGGCACUGAGACACGGUCCAGACUCCUACGGGAGGCAGCAGUGGGGAAUAUUGGACAAAGGGCGCAAGCCUGAUCCAGCCAUACCGCGUGGGUGAAGAAGGCCUUCGGGUUGUAAAGCCCUUUUGUUGGGAAAGAAAAGCAGCAGGUUAAUACCCCGCUGUUCUGACGGUACCCAAAGAAUAAGCACCGGCUAACUUCGUG
rnacentral:rRNA from 1 species